rnacentral:rRNA from 1 species
AACGAACGUUGGCGGCGUGGAUUAGGCAUGCAAGUCGGGGGAAUCCCAGCAAUGGGGGAACCGGCGUAAGGGGCAGUAAGGCGUGGGUACCUACCCCGGGGUUCGGGAUAGCCGUCAGAGAUGGCGGGUAAUACCGGAUGACCUCGGGAGAGCAAAGAUUUAUCGCCCCGGGAGGGGCCCACGUGAUAUUAGCUUGUUGGUGAGGUAACGGCUCACCAAGGCGAAGAUGUCUAGCGGGUGUGAGAGCACGACCCGCGCCACUCGCACUGAGACACUGGCGAGACCCCUACGGGUGGCUGCAGGCGAGGAUCUUCGGCAAUGGGCGCAAGCCUGACCGAGCGACGCCGCGUGUGCGAUGAAGGCCUUCGGGUUGUAAAGCACUGUCGAGGGGGAGGAAACCCGCAAGGGUUGACCUAUCCCUGGAGGAAGCACGGGCUAAGUUCGUGCCAGCCGCCGCAGUAAUAC